rnacentral:rRNA from 1 species
AUGAACGCUAGCUACAGGCUUAACACAUGCAAGUCGAGGGGCAUCAGGAAGAAAGCUUGCUUUCUUUGCUGGCGACCGGCGCACGGGUGAGUAACACGUAUCCAACCUGCCCUUUACUCGGGGAUAGCCUUUCGAAAGAAAGAUUAAUACCCGAUGGCAUAAUGAUUCCGCAUGGUUUCAUUAUUAAAGGAUUCCGGUAAAGGAUGGGGAUGCGUUCCAUUAGGUUGUUGGUGAGGUAACGGCUCACCAAGCCUUCGAUGGAUAGGGGUUCUGAGAGGAAGGUCCCCCACAUUGGAACUGAGACACGGUCCAAACUCCUACGGGAGGCAGCAGUGAGGAAUAUUGGUCAAUGGGCGCUAGCCUGAACCAGCCAAGUAGCGUGAAGGAUGAAGGCUCUAUGGGUCGUAAACUUCUUUUAUAUAAGAAUAAAGUGCAGUAUGUAUACUGUUUUGUAUGUAUUAUAUGAAUAAGGAUCGGCUAACUCCGUGCCAGCAGCCGCGGUAAUACGGAGGAUCCGAGCGUUAUCCGGAUUUAUUGGGUUUAAAGGGAGCGUAGGUGGACUGGUAAGUCAGUUGUGAAAGUUUGCGGCUCAACCGUAAAAUUGCAGUUGAUACUGUCAGUCUUGAGUACAGUAGAGGUGGGCGGAAUUCGUGGUGUAGCGGUGAAAUGCUUAGAUAUCACGAAGAACUCCGAUUGCGAAGGCAGCUCACUGGACUGCAACUGACACUGAUGCUCGAAAGUGUGGGUAUCAAACAGGAUUAGAUACCCUGGUAGUCCACACAGUAAACGAUGAAUACUCGCUGUUUGCGAUAUACAGUAAGCGGCCAAGCGAAAGCGUUAAGUAUUCCACCUGGGGAGUACGCCGGCAACGGUGAAACUCAAAGGAAUUGACGGGGGCCCGCACAAGCGGAGGAACAUGUGGUUUAAUUCGAUGAUACGCGAGGAACCUUACCCGGGCUUAAAUUGCAGUGGAAUGAUGUGGAAACAUGUCAGUGAGCAAUCACCGCUGUGAAGGUGCUGCAUGGUUGUCGUCAGCUCGUGCCGUGAGGUGUCGGCUUAAGUGCCAUAACGAGCGCAACCCUUAUCUUUAGUUACUAACAGGUUAUGCUGAGGACUCUAGAGAGACUGCCGUCGUAAGAUGUGAGGAAGGUGGGGAUGACGUCAAAUCAGCACGGCCCUUACGUCCGGGGCUACACACGUGUUACAAUGGGGGGUACAGAAGGCAGCUAGCGGGUGACCGUAUGCUAAUCCCAAAAGCCUCUCUCAGUUCGGAUCGAAGUCUGCAACCCGACUUCGUGAAGCUGGAUUCGCUAGUAAUCGCGCAUCAGCCACGGCGCGGUGAAUACGUUCCCGGGCCUUGUACACACCGCCCGUCAAGCCAUGGGAGCCGGGGGUACAUGAAGUACGUAACCGCAAGGA